UACGAAGGGGGCUAGCGUUGCUCGGAAUCACUGGGCGUAAAGCGCACGUAGGCGGAUUGCUAAGUCAGGGGUGAAAUCCUGGAGCUCAACUCCAGAACUGCCUUUGAUACUGGCGACCUUGAGUCCGGGAGAGGUGAGUGGAACUGCGAGUGUAGAGGUGAAAUUCGUAGAUAUCGAGAGGAACACCGGUGGCGAAGGCGGCCUUCUGGACAGUGACUGACGCUGAGACGCGAAAGCGUGGGGAGCAAACAGG
rnacentral:rRNA from 1 species